rnacentral:rRNA from 1 species
CAGUAGCCGCGGGAAUACGUAGGGUGCAAGCGUUGUCCGGAAUUAUUGGGCGUAAAGAGCUCGUAGGCGGUCUGUCGCGUCUGGUGUGAAAUCCCGAGGCUCAACCUCGGGCUUGCAUCGGGUACGGGCAGACUAGAGUGCGGUAGGGGAGACUGGAAUUCCUGGUGUAGCGGUGGAAUGCGCAGAUAUCAGGAGGAACACCGAUGGCGAAGGCAGGUCUCUGGGCCGCAACUGACGCUGAGGAGCGAAAGCAUGGGGAGCGAACAGGAUUAGAUACCCCAGUAGUCCCUGUCUCUUAUAC